CUGGGACCAGUGUCUGGCGGAAGUAUUGUUUAGUUGUGCAAUAUGGAACAAUCCACUGUCUGAGUUUGUUGCUAUGUAUUCCGACUGUCUGCUGUUACACAAACGUCUGAUGUGCAGCAUCACACAGGACAACCAGGGUGUGCGGACUGGAAGACAAAUAAUUUCUCUGCCGCCACUUGAAAAAUGUCAGCGCUAACAAAGAGCCGACAGACAGAGGAGGCCCAGAGGCUGCGGAGCGUGGAGGGAGAGCUGCCUAAUCUGCCAUCUACACCUCUGCUAAGGGUCUCCAGCAUGCAGGCAUUUACAAAGAUCAAGUUCAGUUGUUCCGCACCUUGUUGCUGAGAUUUAUCUGGCCCGGGAGUCAUCCACAUUCCCCUUGACAGGACGGACACUGCGGCGCCCUGCCAACUGUGUAAAAGUCACUUUCCAACCGAGGUGCGUUUAGCCUCGACAGAUACAUUAACAUGCGUUGGCCUCAUGCCACCCUAUUAAUCUGCAGCUUGUUGGAUCACAUGUGGACUGAGCUGCUUCUCCCGGGGAACAACCCAACCAGCCGUGAUGCGGGUCCCUGAGUGUAAGCGCCACCUCAGACUUCCCCCCUAUGAGCUUAUUGGCUCUCCUCUAACAGAUGUCAUCUCAUGGGGCGAUCUGACAUCUGUGAUAGUCUUUUAAAAAGGGGCAACAGCAGAGUGGAAGGUUUUCUUUAACUUCAUAAACUGCUCUCUUAUCAUGUAUGAUAGUCAAAGAAAGGGUUUUAUUUAGUUCAGGAGGAUUCUUCACCAUCA